UCUAUGAAGCUUCCCCGCCGCCGCUUCACCCUUCCACAGAUCUUCCAUGGCCACCGUCCCCUACCUCCUCCUCCUUCCCCUCCUCUCAGUCACCUUUAGCGCCACAGACCCGAACGACCUCGCCAUUCUGAACGAGUUGAAGAAAAACAUGGUCAACUCCGACUUCCUCAACUGGCCCGACGACAACUCUGACCCCUGCGGCCCUCUUAAGUGGGACUACGUCUUUUGCUCUGCCAGUAGAGUCUCCCAGAUUCAAGUCCAAGGGCCUCAUUGGACCUUUCCCCCAUAACCUCAACCAGCUCUCCCAACUCUCCAACAUCGGCCUCCAUCGCAACCACUUCAGUGGGCCCCUCCCCUCUCUAAUGACCUCUUCCAAUUGAAGUACCGCGCUUAUUGAGUUUCUUGGGGAGUUGGAGUACCCUUCUGAACUGGCUGAAGGUUGGUCUGAAACAUUGCUUCUAAAACAGAACUGAUGUGUUACGAAAACACAGAAGCCGUUGUUGCAGCAUGUGAUAGUGCUCAGGGAAGAUGGGCAAAGCUACUUGGGGUUCGUGCUCUUCUUCAUCCAAAAUUGAGAUUACAGGAGUUUUUGAGCAUAUAUAAUAUCACAUAAGAGUUUAUAACUACUACCGAGAAGAUAGGGGGAAGGCCAGGAUUUAGCAUUAGAGGAACACUACAGUCACAGGCAAAGGCCUUCCUCGAUUAUCAGCAUGAAUCACGGAUGACAAAGAUAAAGGCAGUUCUAGACCAAGAAACGUGGGUGGAAGUAGAUGUCCCUGAUGAAUUUCAGGUUAUUGUCACUUCAUUAUUUUGUUCUGAAGCAUUGGUAACUGAGAACCUGGAUCCAUAGUAGUUCGGAAACAAACCACACUGGGGUGGCCAGAAGCAGUAGUAGUUCAGAUGCGGUGGAUACAGGACCAACAAUCACAGAACAGCAAAUUAAGCGAACUAGUUCAACUGACUUAUCUACGGAUAUAACUGGAUGUCUGUCUACUUUUUUUUUCU